AGGUGGUGAUGAGGAACAUUCCGUUGAAAAUUCUUGAAUCUCUCCCACGAUUCACUCAAGGACUCACCAUCAUAUUGCAUAAAAUCAAUAAUCUCCUUAGUCAACUU